CCGGCUCGCACAUGACUAUGCUACAAACAUGAAGAGGAAGCUUGACCAGAUGAAGGAAACUGAUGGUCAGGUUUUACUUGAUCAUCAGAGAUUUGUGGGUUUGUUCCAAAGGCAUUUAUUGCCUUCGUCUUCUGGGGCUGUACCCGCGUAAUGAAGCUCCAAAUGAUCAACCUCUGAUGCCUCCUCCUUCUAGGGUUCUGUCCAGUACUGAGGCUCCAAAUGAUCCCCCUCCGGUGCCUUCUCUUUCUGGGGCUCUACCGACUGCUGAGACUUCUCCUAAGCAACCUUUGUGAAGGCUCCCUCUUGUGUGCUUAUUUUGACUCAUGUAUAUGUACAUAUUUGUAGCUUAUCGGGGAUAUCAAUAAAUAAGCUUUCCUUCAUUUCAACGUAUUGUAUUAAAUACACCAAAGCCUUCUUCGCUAAGUUCUUUGAAUUUUCUUUUGUUAAAGCUUGUAUGUUGAAGCUUUCUGAGUGGAGCAUGUAGGUUGGGGUAGUGUUCCCUUAAUUUCCCGAGUGAGGAAAACUUCUCGGUUGGGGACUUGGAAAAUCCAAGUCACUGAGUGGGAUCGGCUAGAAAAUCCAAGUCACUGAGUGGACUUGGAAAAUCCUUGUACUAUAAAUUCUUCGCAAUCUGUUGUAGUUGUUAUGCUACACAAUAACUGUGUGUGAAUUGUAUUAGAGGGGGUAAAUAGGACACACUAGUAACUUGCUUGAUUUUAGUGUUACAAGUACCUGCAUCACUUAAUGUGCUCUAAUUAAAAGCCUAGUGUGUUCAAUUGGGAUUUUAAUAGUGUUAGAAGUAACUUGCUUGAUUUUAGGCGUAUUAUAGUCAAAUUUUUAUGGAACCUAUAAAAGGUUGGGUCUUUUCAACAAAGAAUUUUUAAAAAUAUAUUACAUAAAGUAAUGGAUUUUGGUGUAUUUUAGAAUGAAUUAUGGGCUAUAACAAGUCUAGCCUUUUCCCCUUCACUUUGGUGGAUGUAAGAUGCCGACCCUGCUUGUGAACAUGAAGGAUUUGACUGAAUUUGUAGAUCGUUUGAAGACACCAUCGAGAGUAGACCUGUAUGCACACGUGCAUAAAUAUUUAUUGAACCUACAAGUUACGAUUGUCUAGUGCCAUAUUGCCUACUGAAAUAAUCUUGACAAAAUUGCUUGUAUAAAAAGGAAAAAAAUGAACAGUGGAAAAUAAGAUUAUUCUGAGCUAGUGGUAUUACAGGGGCUAAUGAUUUGUCACCCAGCUAUCAAGGCUUGUACUUCAACUUCCUCUCUGUUCUUUUCUUGUUUGUAUGCGUUACAAACUUACAAGUUUGGCUUUUGGUGGUGGUGGGGGUGUUGUUAACCGAAAAAAGAAGAAAAAAAAAGUCUGUUUUCUAUAAUUGUAGUUCAAUAUUUUGCUUACCCUAUUUAUUUUUAUUUUCACUAUGCAUAUUUUUAUGAUCCUUUUCAUUAUAAUAAUUGUAGUUAAUAGUAAUACUUUCCAAAUACUGAUUUUAGGGUAAUGUGUAUAUGAAAUGUUAAAUAGUUUUUAUUUUUUAUUUUUUUAUAAAUAUUUUAACUGCCAAAGUAAGCAUGACAACAAUAUUCUAUUUGGCCGUUAAAAUUCCAUGAAAAUCAAGCCUAUAAAUAUAUUUCAAACUUUAUGUUUGAAGUUUAACAAACUUCAUUAAAUUCCACAUACAAUUCAGUUAAAUUCUAUGUAGUAGAGAAAAUCAAGCCUAUAAAUAUAUUUCAAACUCAAUGUUUGAAGUUUAACAAACUUCAUUAAAUUCCACAUACAAUUCAGUCAAAUUCUAUGUAGUAUAGAAAUCAAAUAAAAUUCAUGGACUCCAUGAAUUUAUAAAAUCUACGUAACGCCCUUGUACUGAAAAAUGAUGCUUGAAUCAGUGCCCAUGAAUUAUCACUUUUGUUAUUAUGAGAUGGUUAAAUUUAUUUUGAUCAACAAAUAUCAUGCUUUGUUGGAAGAAUGCCAUUGUUUUUGUACUAUUGGAUCAUAUUAGUGAUAAAUGAAGACAUUUAAAUGUUUGUUUCUUUAAAUAUGCAGGGUAUCGACAGAGGCAUCUAGAGUUUUUGAUGUUCUACAUGAUAUGUUGGAACACAUCUUCUACAAUUUGCAUAAUAUCCAGAAGAACUUGCAGUUUUGGCAAUCUAGGGCUGAGGUGAGAAAUAAAACACAACAUCAUUAAUUACAUUAUAGAUUACAGAAAGAGGGGAAUGCAAAUAAAAACAUGUGAAAAUAUAAACAAAACAAAAAAGAAACAUAUCACGAAAGAACCUAUCAAAAUGUCUAAACUACAGAAGCUUCCCUAUUUGAUGAAUGACAUAGAAAGAAGAGUUGCCAGCCUUUUCUGAGUUUACUGCUGAAGUUCUGCUGGAAGCUAGGAUUUGGGAGGUUAAAGCCUUUUAGGUGACACAAUUUCAUGAGCAAAAAGUUGUUUUUGAGAAAAAUAAACAGAUGAUAUACUAAAUUACUGGAAAUAAGCCAGUUUGGGAAGGUUCAAAAUCGGUUUUGAGAAGUAAGUGUUGAAGGAUCUGUGCCACGGGAUGUAUAAAUUGUUUGGUCAUGAUGGUUCAACAACUUUUGGUGGAAAGGGUUCGCUUGGUAUCAACCAGGCCACAUUCAAGGACCUGGAGAUUAGAAUCAGCAGGUGUUUUCUUUGUGUUAGUUGUUUUUCAUAUUUUUAUGUUCGGUGGGGCAGUUCCAAAUUUUCACCAAGCAGGUUCACACAGAAGGCAAAGCUUCCUCUGUUAUUCAAAUAAGAAAAGUCCUUUCCUGCUCAUGCAAGAACUUUUUGUUUUCCUUCACUCUACCACUUUCCCUUAACUUUUCUUUAUUAACACCAACCUUAAAUCUUUGUGACAUUGAGAUUGUUUUACAUAAUUUUAAAUCGUUCCUAUCAUCAUAUUGUGUAUAAGCCACAUAUAGUUAGUUAAUUUUCUUGUUAUGUUGUUAAAUUGAAGAUAAGCUACAUAUAAGCGGUUGUCUUUGACUAUAGCUUGUAGCAGGUAAUGCAUCUGUUAACAACUGGGUAAAAUGGUAAUAUAACAAUUGAUCUUACCAGCCACAUUCUGUUACUAGAAAUGAAACAAAUACAGUUUACUUUCUGGGUUUCCCCCACACAAUGCAAAUCAUGGCUACGUUCCUGCAUUUAUGCGUCUGUCUGUGCUGGCUAUGAUUUGAAUAAACCAUGCACAAAUAUUGAUGUUAUAUACAAAUGAUACACAAUCAGACUUAUGUUUGAUAUAUCUGAUUUCAGGGAUCUAAUGCUCAAAAAGUUAAAUUUAUGGUGUUAGAGAGAGGGCCACAUGCUUUUAUUGAAGGUGCAAUUCAGCUGAUACGUGGAUGCAUUGCUGAAGGUUCUUCUAUACAGAGUAUAUCCCUCUCUGCAUCUGCUCACAUAUCUGAACGGAUAACUAUAUUAACUAGCUUGAGAUGUUCUCUCGCCACAUUUUUGGCCCAGGUUUGCUUUACCUUGUUCAUAUAUUGUUAAUUUGAAUAUGGUCUCUAAUUUUUUGAGGAGAGAGAGAUGACCAAUUAUAGCCCUCUUAUAUUUUCUUUUCAGCACACACACAAAUAUAUAUAUAUAUAUAUAUAUAUAUAUAUAUUUAUAUAUAUAUGUAGAUAGAUAGUAUAUACACACACACAUACAUACAAUGAGAGCUUCAUAAGAGGGAUCCCUUUCUACUAGAAAAAGGAUUGUAGUUGAGCCCAACCAUCAAAGCUAUCCGUUAAUCCAAAUUGUUUAACUUUUAGGACUUCAUUCAAAGAUCGUCCUUGCAAAAAAUCACCAAAAUCCAAAAUCAUAUGGUCAUCAAACAAUAACAUAAGAAAUAGACGGACACAAUCUUUCUUCUAAAAGAACUAAAUAUAUGAUAAUCAAAUUGUCAAACGAUUUUGGAUUUCAAUGAUUUUUCGUAGGCAUGGUUCUUGGAUGGAGAUCUAAACUGUAGUCAGUUUGGAUUAUUGAACCUCAUUGUGGAGUGUGAGGAACAACCCUCUCAACUAUUCUUCCAAAGGGAUCCUCUUAAGAAUACCCACAACACGCGCACACACAGACACACAAACAGAGACACAUGCACACACACACACAAACAGAGACACAUGCGCACACACACACACACACACACACACACACACGUGCACGCACGCACACAUAUCUGAAUAUGAUGUAUGUCAAUCGUGGUUUGUAUAGGUUUACAUGGAAAUUGACAAGUUUGGAGACGGGUUAGUGAGCGAUCCAGAGAAUUCAUUGCCUUCCUUACUAAUUAGAAUUAAUGGCUUAUUCUUCAAACUAGAGGCAUCUGUUGGCCAUGUGCAUGCAAUGCGGCAGGUAGCUUCUUGAACAUUCGAACUUGAUUUUAUUGUGGUGGUAGCCUUAUUGUCAAGAUUGUUUCACCAUCUGAAAUUCAAAAAGAGAAUCAAGCACGAAACAUGAAAACCAUUGUAAUAUGUAUAUUUAAUUGCCAUGCAGGUUGAUUCGUCUGUUGAGGGCAGCUAUUCAGUUCCACUACUAUUUGAGAAACUCCCGGAAAUAAAUCAAGAAGGAUCCCAGUGGACAGACUGUGAAAUUAAGGAUGCUAUCAAUUUGGUUUAUCAGAAUCUGGACAAGCUCGAUUCUUACUUGUCUUCUAUUGUAAGAGCUUCUGCCACAUUUUCUCUAUCGAAUUAAGUAUAGCUUUUGUUGGGGAAGCUGGAUGAAAUGGAUAGAUCAUAUGUGUAUCAACUGGCUUAUGAUUGGUUCUUGUUUAUAUACUUUAUCCAUCUUUUGACAAUAUGCAGGAAAUAGUUGCCUUUCGUUUUUUUAUUUUAAUUUAUUUUAUUUCCUGUUUUUCUUUUUCAUAUACUUCUUUAUACGUUUUCUUUGAUUUAUUUAUGUGAUAGGUUUGCAAACAUCGUAAACCAAGGAAGGUAACACAAUAUUGGAUCCGUUAUACAUGUGGUGCGGUUGGCUUCUCAGUUUGUUCUGUGUGGCUUAUAGGACAUAGUAGUCUGAUGGGAAGUCCUGACAUUGACAAUUGGGUUCGUGAAGCGAGGGAUUCAACAGUCAGCUUCUUUAGCGAUCAUGUGGAGCAACCGGUAUAUUUGUUCAACUUAUGUCGUGCUUUAAUUUUCUGCUGCUCUAAAAAAUAUUUGUUAUGCUAUUUGACUGAAAGUGAAGGAAGCUAUGGUGCCAUGUAACUGUCUUGACAUGAAGUUUAUAUUUUCAGAUGAUCACUUUAUAAAUUAACCUUUGAUAGACGUUUCUCGGAGGCUUAAAUUUGUGAUAUAUUUCCAUGGAGUCUAUGUAAUUUAUUUAAAACUCCAUCAAAAUCCGUGGAUUUAUAAUUCCAUAAAAAUCCUUUAAAAUCUCAAUUGAAUACACCCUAAGGGUAUUAGCUUCGAUAGUGCUCAGUGCAAUAUUUGCGAUAUGGUUCAAAGGAGAACACCUCUUUUUGUGUCUGUACUGUCGACAUUGGUGUGUGAAUUGUGAUAAAAGAUGCUGAGAAUGGGUCAUCUGUUUUUGCACAGUCCAGUAGCAUUGAUUGUUUGGCUGAGGUUAUUCGUGAAGGCUAAUUUGGGCUGGGAGAUUCCAGCUACAUGUGUGGCAUUAUUUGUAAGAAGCACAAGUAAGUUGGAGGAAGAAAGAGGCACAGUGAUAAAUUUGGUGGAAAGGACUAUACAGAUUUUGGGAUGUAGUGGCGUGAGAGGUGGAUACAGUGAUAAAAAAAGAAUUUGGUGGAAAGGAGUAGACAGAUUUUGGGAUGUAGAGGGGGGGGGGGUGAGAGGUGGAUUAUUUGUUGGAAGGGGUUAUGUUUCGAGCUUUGGUAUCUUCAGAGAUUAGGGAGAGUUCAUUUUCUGUUAUUAUUUCAAAUUGCAAUGCUGUUUCUCAAUACCUUCAUUUUUUAAUCUUGGAUAUGUUAUAUAGUUGCUAUGGUGAAUGUGGACGAUGCUUCUGCUUUUUUGUCUUCGCCAUUUUAGAGGACAUCUUCUCCUCGGUUUUUAUUAAUUUCUCGCGUCUCCUCUCUGAAGAGGUAAAAAAAAUAAAAUUCAGAGUGCAUCUGACAGCCAGAUAAAUUGUUUUACUCUUCAUGGAAGCUAUAGCAGACAUUAGCAGUUCAAAUACGUGCGGUAUUUUGUUUCUUAAGUUGGAUGGAUUAUAUUAUCGAUUAAGAGCUCGAAUUUAUUUUUCGGUAUCACUAAAGGAACCCAUCUCGUCAGCCAUUACAUGAGAACCCCAGGUAGAUAUAUUCGAAGAUUAUGCUAGAGUCGGUUUAGCGGACCUACGGGAUAGAGUUCAGUUUUUGUCUGCCCUUUGGGCCUCAGUUUUCCCAGGAAUCUCUCUCUAUAAUUUGUUUAGAUUGGAAGGGGCAGCCUAAUAAUUGGUGUUUGGGUGUUUUAGCUUUUCUGGUUGGCUGUGUUUAUUCUGUUUUCUGUUUUGGGUGAUUUUCUUGACCGCCCUCUUUGCUUUCCCCUUUCUUCUUAUAAUAUUGUCUCUUUAUAAAAAUAAAAAAUUGCAUACUGAAGUCAUUCUUUAGCCUUUUGAAGUCCUUUUUUACUACGUGAUUUGCUCCAAUAGCACCUCAGAGAGAGCUUCCCCUUGUUGGCUUUGAGAUAUUGAUCAAAGUAUGCUCGUGUCUCAUCUUGCCAGAGUGCCUGUUAGCCAAACCCCUCUCAGUUUCUCCUAUCGUAGAUUGCAGGAAAAGAUGUGAAGAGUCCACUUAGCCCAUAUUGUUGAGAACCAGGAUGAUCUUUUCCAUUUAAAAUUUAUAUCAUCCAGCCUUUAAUAUGCAUCCUUGAGAAUUAAGCGUAUUGUAAUUGUUCUGUUUUUACUGAAAGUUUUGGUUUGAAGUAUUAUCUCAUUAUUAAAAAGAUGGCACUCACUUCUGACCUCAACCUUCGUCUCUCUCUCUCUCUCUCUCUCUCUCUCUCUCUCUCUCUCUCUCUCUCUCUCUCCUUCUCUCUCUCCUGUACAUGCAAAUAACCUUUUUCAUAUUUAUAUAAACAUCUGAAUAUAUUCUAAUGACUUCAGCUAUAUGUUGACUCAAUUUUUCCUAGCUUCUGUCUAUUAGAGAUGAACUCUUUGAGACAUUCAGGAAAAGACAUAAAGGAAUGAUGGAUCACGAAGAAGUGCAACUAACUUCUAAUUCUCUACACAGGUUAAUGUUUUUAUCUCCCCCUUGCUUGCUUAAACUGUGGGUAGUAAAAUGCUGAUCAUGCCAUUCACAUUUCUCAAGUCAUAAAAGUGAUCAACAUGCAGAUUGUGACUUAUCAAGUCUUACGUCAGUGGUGGGCAGUUGCCCUUUUUUUUAGUGGAAGGAGGGGAUGUUCAAUUCACAAUUAAUGCAGUGGUUUAGAAAACUAUUCUUUCUAACUGUUAAAUCCUUCUACAUUUCAUAUUUUAUUCCGCGGGCUUUGGAUCACUUGUGCUACCUGUGACUUACAUUAAUAGGUGUAGUUAAUAAAGAUUUUACCCUUUUAGUUUGGGUGUAUUGCUACAAUUUUCCCUUUUUGUUUUAUAGAGUGUUUCUCAAAUUUAUCAAAAAAAAGUGUUUUUAAGAGGCAGAAGGGAAUAUUACUAUAUCCUUUGAUUAUACUAACGAAACUUAUUCUUUGCAGAUCACUGGGUUUGUGUUCUAUUUAUUUAUCCUUUUAUCACAUUCACAUAGCACAUCCAGCGUUAGUUUAUUUUGCUAAACUGGUUGAUGCCUUUUAUUUUAACCUAACAUUUCUAUCUGCUCGUUUGUAGAAUGUUACUGGCUUUCAUUGAGCAGACAAAAGGCCAAAAGUUCCCAGAGAAUGCAUCAGAUCAGGAAAUGCUUGAAAUAGUCAUGGCCAGGUUGGUAUUUAUAGUAUGCUUGCUUCUGUUGUGUCUUGGUGCUAGCCUCUUUUUAUAAAACUUAAAAUGUGCUUGUAUAAAUACGUAGCUUUGCUUAACUCUUGUCCAGAGUCUUGACAUGAGAAGUUUUUAUUGAAACAACUUUGAGACUUGUGAAUGCAGUAAAACAUGAUCUAUGGAAUUGUGUAAUAAAAUUGUCAUGUCUGUUAUUAAAUUCUUGAAUGUGACCUAUAUCCUUGAGUCUACUAAAUCAACGAAUUUAUUCAGAUUUGAGUUUCUCAUUUAGUGUACAUAUUUGGAGCUUGGUCCUAUCCUCUGAACCUCUCAUUUUGUUUCCCUCUUUGAUUUCUUAUGAUUGAAAUGAUGGAUGCUAAUUUACCCUUUUUUUGUUGUUGUUGAAGUUCAUAUGAAUGGAAUGGAUGUUGUAUUUCAAUAAAAAAAAAAUCCUAUUUUUAAUAUACGUUGUAAUCUAAUUUAUGAUUUGGUUGUUUUAUUUCGAUCUUCUUGAAAUUCCAGAUAAGCCUAAACAAGUACUCUGCCGGUAUGUGUAAAACAGUAGAUUAGAAACUUGUUCAUGGUUUUGUUAAGAUGCAUAUGGUUCACUGGUUGUUUAGUGUAUAGUUCUGAAAUCGUAUGUGUACGUUUCAUAAAAAAAAAAUCCCAUGUCUACUUGAAAAUAGAUUUUUUUUUUUAAUCUUAUGAAUAUAUAGGUACGAAGAGGAACUUACCCAUCCUAUUCAGAACCUUCUUAAUGGAGAGCUGGCUCGUGCUAUGCUGAUCCAGGUAGUAUCCAUUACCUAUUAUCAGUACUGUUACCACUGUUUAUAUUAUUUCUCAUGUUAUAAUGCCUGGUGCCACACAGGUUCAGAAGCUAAAGCUGGAUAUUGAAACGUGCGUUUCUGAUCCUGGUGUCUUGGUUAAUACGCAAGUUUUUCAGAUGCACCAUCUUAUUUCAUGUUUCAGUUCCUAAAGAUGAUCUUAUUAUGAACAGGGCGAUGCUUGAACUCAACCAAAUUCUGAGGGCAAAUGAGAUCAAUUUUGCUAUUCUGGCGGCUUUACCGGCAUUCUUCCUCUCCCUCAUUCUGCUAAUGGUAGUGCGUGCAUGGUUCAAGCAGGUAGGAGAGGUUUCUUAAGCAUUUUUUUUUCUUCUAAAUAUUCUCAAGUUAAAUUAUCCUAAGGAUGUUAGUGCCUGCAUGUGAGUAUUCUCACAUGAAGAUGUAGUUUCAUUUCUAUGCAUAUCCCAUGUGUAAUGGAUUACAUCAUCAACUCCAACUUAUUGCGCAGAGUUCAAAACAAUUGUUCACAGUUAAAGACAACAGCAUUACUAGCCUACUGCAAAACUUUCUAAAACACGUAGAAUUCAGUUUUCUCCAUAAACCUCUUUUUCCUCUCUUUGACAUCCAAAAUUCGUAUGUCAAAUUGUAAUUGAGAAAUAUUUAACUAUUUAUUUAUUUUGUGGGCUACAAAAAGUUUUUGGUACAUUCUUCAUAAUGUAUGCCAGAUGGACUUAUGGAAAGACAUCAAAGCUAAAGUCAUCUGAAAAUAUUAUAAUUCUGUAAAGCUCCGUAAUGUUUUAAUGUUACCAUUUGUGCAAAUUUGUUCUUCUCUUCCUGUUUGUAUUAGUUGCUCAAUCUCAUUUCUACUUAUGCAAAUCAGGAUACUAGAGCAGAAGGAAGGGGAAGAAUUGCUCGGAUCCAGCGGAGGUUACUGGUUGUGGAGGUUGAGAAACAGAUUAUGCAGUAUCGUACUUUUUACGGUCAAGGGAUGGUAAGAAUUCAGUUCUAAAACUGUCUAUUGUAUUGAUUGUCAAUAGAGAGAAUUUAUUUAGAAGAGCUUCAAAUAUAGAACUAUACAAAUAUUAGUAUUGGGCAAUUAUUUCAUAGCAUACAGGUCUCAAAUGGUAUUCAUCUGCAAGAAAAGUGUUUUAGAACUGUUAUCUCACUCAUUUAAUUCAGGAUUAUAUGCAUUGAGAAGGAUUGGGAGGGUACACUAUUUGCUCUCUUUAAUUCUUUUAUGUGCACUUAUGCAUAAUAUUGCAUUCUGAAGAAUAUAAAUAAUUAGAUGUGAUAAGUAAAUUAGAGCCCUAAGAUUAGAUUACAAAUAAUUAGAUGUGAUAAGUAUAUUGCUUGCAAAGAUUGCACAGGAGAAGCAAUUCAUUAACUCAUAGAGCAAUAAACUUUUAGCAAAUCGAAUAAGGUAAUAACAAAUUCCAAUAAAAUAUAGCUAAACUUAGGAUAACAACUAUAGAAGUUAGCAACCACUGCUUCUAUAUUCCUUUUAAGUUUCAGUUUUUUAACUCCACAUAAAUAUAAAACAUGUAGGUACAUUGAGUUAUCUUUUUGUUUCAACAAUCAAGGCCACUUGGCAAAAUAUUUUUGCUUAAAAGAAGAAAGCGGCUGUGACUUUACUGUCCUUAUUUUACUUCGAGAGCUGAUGUCUGUACUUUAUCAGCAUUUAUAUGCUCUUUGAUUAUUCUAUUUGUCUUUUUGUUUUUCCAUCUGGAAAAAAAAAUCAAUGUUUUAAAAGGCAAAGCCAAGGCAUUUGAUUAUUAAUAUAUAUUAUAUUAUAAUUAUAUAUAAUUAUAAUCAACAAUAGAGUUGAAAUCAACAUAUAGAGCCGAAGUUAAACAUAUAUAGUCGAAAUCAAACAUUAUAGAAGAAUAAUCAACAAUCAAUUCAAAAAGUUAUUCAGUAUAGGUUAACCCUUACCUUAAAAAAUAAAAAUAAAAAAAGGCCCCAGCUGACGCCUCAGGUGCCGAGGCGCGACUCGACCACGCCUAGAUGAGUUUAAGCCUACUCCCGCUGGGCAAGGUGUUUUCCUCGCCGCCCCGCUCGAAGGUUGUCUAGGCGCGCCUCAAGGCCCCUUUUUUAAAACACUGAAAAAUAUAUAGAAAAAUCUUCGUUGCUUUGUUCUGUUAGAGUUGGGUAAUGAUCUAUUUGAUGAUUUGUAAUGAAAAACUGCAAUGAAAACAAGGAUUUGAAUCUGCAAAAUUUUGAUAAGAAAGUGCUAAUAGUUGCAACCUCUCAUUGAUUUUGUUAUGUGAUGAGAUCUGAUUCUGAUUUUUAACUUUAUCUGUGUGUUGUUUCUAAAUCAUGGUCUUUUUUGUUUUCCUCUAAUUUUCUUUUGUAAUCACUCUUUGUUUUUCUUUGUGAAUACUUUGGAUGAUUAUGUAUGCAUUAGAAACAACACAUUCACAAUAAUAAAAUUUGUGAAUGUGUUGUUUCUAAUGCAUAUUGUUGGGGUUGUAGUAGUCAUUCUUGUUUCGUAAUUGUCCUCCACAUUAUAUUAUUGUGUGCUUUUGUUCGGUUUCCGGAAGAGGCACAUUCACAAACUUAAGCAAAGAAGUUGGUCUUGAUACUUUAUCUGUAAUUUACAGGAGAAAGAAGCGCAGUGCGUGUAUGGAUUGUUGUUGUAUAGUCUGGAUCGACUAUACCGUGCUGUCAAGAGGCACGCAAAAGCAACCGGUGAAUGGAAAUGGUUAGUUUCUUUACAAUGUAAACUUUGUUCACAUUUAAAAAAAAAAAAAAAAAAAAAAAAAAAAAACAGAGAGAAAGAAAGAAAGAGGGGUAUUGUGUUGGAGUAAAUAAUUUAUGAGUUGUUAUAUGAUGAACAGGUUGAGUGAGGAUAUUGUUGAUUUGGGGAAGCCCAGCCUCCAAAUUGGAGAUAAACUCAUAUUGACCUCACGCAUGGUACGAGUGUACGACUGUCUGCUUCCUUCGUUGAAACGCCAAUAGGACUCUUUUCUUCCCCUCCCUUCCCUCGUAUUGACCUCGGAGGAGUAUUCUCUUCUCUCCUAAUCUCUUUCCCCAUUCUUUCCCGUCAUUUUCCUCCGCCCCCCUAUCUUUCACAGCUUAGAAAUUUUGUUAGUAGAGAAAACUGUGUAAAUGUUUGGUUUACGUAUGUAUUAUUUUUCCUUUUCCUAAGAAAAUAAGACAUUCACACUUAUUUCAUCACUAAAAAGCAAUGUUACAAUUUUGAAUUUUUUAUGGGGUCUGUGACACGUGGCUAUGCAUCAUGCGUUAACGGAUCUUUUGAUAGAAGGCCUAACAUAAGCAUGAAGUCUCACAUUCCUCACUUUAGGUAUGAGACUGAGAUGAAAAAAAUUUGGUAAAUUGAGAAUUUGAUACCUCAUGGUGGUAAAUUGAGAAUUACCCUAAAAACAGUGAAAACACAACUCAUAAAAUUUAAACGUGCUUCGGAUAACAAAAACCAUACAUCAACCCCCCCCCCCCCCAAAAAAAUACAAAAUGUGAUCAACCUUCAAACACGACAGUGACCCAUAAACAUUAGAUGGUUCUCAGUUUGCAUGAAGCUACUAACAACAACGAUUGAAACCAUAGCAAAAAGUGGCAUAAGAAAAGCAUCAUUUUGCCACCUUUUAUCAAGGCCUGAAAACUAUGUGGCCUUGUUUCCAAAAAAAAAAGAAAAAAACAGAAAACUAUGUGGCCUUCCUUUUUGAACCUGGAUGUAAUUAACAAAUCAAGCAUAAUAACUCGGCCAAAAACCAAAAUCAACUUUGGACGUAUUCCUAAUUAAACACUUCCCUUCAGGCCUGAUUCUGCUUUGUAUCCUGUUCGAUUCAGGAGUUAAAAAGUAGGGGUGGGCACGGUGCUGUUUCAUUCUCAAACCAUAAUCGGAACAAGGAAAUACCAAUAGUUCGGUUUGGUGCAGUUCUGCUUAAGUUUAUUACUAAAAUCGUUUAGUUCGGUUCACGCAUGUUCUAGUUUGGUUCAUGCCAGUUUAUGGUUCUAAAUAUUAAAUCAUUUGAAUACCAAAUCAAAAUGGUAUUUAAAGUUUACUUGUUUUCUUUUUCUUGUUUUUUGCAUGCUUGUAUUCAAAUACAACUUCUAAAAUGUAAACAUCCUUCACACCAAGCAAACAAAAACAAAAACACAAUUCAAAUGUACAUGUACAUUCAUAAUACGAAUAUACAUCCACAAAUACAAAUAUAUCCACUAUGUAGUAAUAACGUUAGUAUGAAUACAAUAAUAUGAGUCCAAAGGGGAUUUAUCAAGAGAUUAAAAAAAGGCCCAGUAAAAAGGAAAAGAAAAAAGUUGGAUGUAACUUAACACAUUAAGAUCAUUUUGUCCAAGAAAAAUAUAUUAAAACCUGAAUGUCAAAUAUGGAGAUUCAGGAGAGAAAAUGACCUCCUUUUUUUAAAUAUGUGCCUUAUCUCAAUAGGUGAACCGUGCAAGUGAAAGACCUAAUUGAGAAAUGCUCCUAUGCAAUUGCACUAGGCGAAACCAAUUUGAUUUUCACUACUCAUUUAGCGACACCUGUAUACAACUGUUAGAUUUAGUUAAUUAUUUAUAUUCACGAUUCGGUUUGGUUUUAAGCGGUUCUACCAACAUGAGAACCGGAACUGGUAUGAAUGGUUCGUUUUGGUUCUUGAACCUACAUUGACUUUUUUUGUCAACAUGGUUUUUAAAGGUUUAUUUUGUCGCGGUUAGAUUCGAUUUCGCAGUUCCACAGUUUUUAUGCCCAUCCCUAGUUAAAAGUAUGCUACCACCUCAUUUGGUAUCAGAGCUACAUUGAGAGGGGGUUAAUUUGCUAUAAAUGUGUAGUUGGAUACCUCCUAUGUGUAAAAAAAAAAAAAAAAAAAAAAAAAAAAAAAAAUUCUAUUGAUAAAUCCUUAGAGCAAGUCCACAUCACUAAGGCAAUUACUGCAUAGACAAUUGGGCAAAAUCAAUUACUUAAUACUGCACGAGUACAUCUCCACCUUGUAAAUGAAUUGCCCAAGCAAUUGGUAAUAAAUUUUUUUUUUUUAAAAAAAAGAAGAAGAUAAUUUAAUGUUUGAUUUCGGAUAGGAUUUUUAACCAAUCUCGUUACGCCACAUGUCAUUAUACAAAAUUACAAUUUUUGUGGAUAGAUUUCGAUUACAUUUUUUACCAAUCUCAUCGCACCACGUGUCACUAUCUGUUCAACCAAUCACGCCACGUGGCAUUAUCUAUGACUUUAUCCUUUAUUUUUUCUUCUUCUCCAUAUAAACCUACAUCCAACCUAGAAUCAGACACCAAAUUCAAAAUAUCUUAGAAUCCUUCUUCAUAGUGUAUAAAUCUUGAGUUCUUACAAUGCUUUCUUCAAGAAGCUUGUUAGAAAUUGAAGAGCAAGUGAAUGAAUUGUUCGAUCUCCAGGAGUGAGAAAAUGAGUUGUUUGAAAUGGAAAAGCGAGAGGACCAAAACAUAGAAGGAGAUAUGAUAAGCAAGAAGAGAAAAAACCACACAUACCCGUCAUGUUGUGCAAGUUGUAGUGGUAAUCUCUAGACCCAGUCGUUCCCCGAACCUCAAUAUAAGGAAGGAAUAACGAGGUAAUGAUCUCUCGAAAAAUUACUUUGUCCCAAAUAGUGUCUACCCUGGUGCAUAUUUAGACGUCGUUGUAUAAUGUAACCACAUUUGUUCAACAAAAUCAUGAUUGCUAUUUGCAACCACGAUUCAUACUCUGUGCAAAAGAAUAAUGCUUUUAAUGUAUAGGUCUCUUUCAUGAGCAAAAAAUUACUGCUACCUACCUAACACUUGCAUAUAGGGCAUCUGCAUACCAAGUGAAUGAGAUUGCGAGGAUUGGGAAGUCAACUGUUUUAAAGUCCCUGAUGAGGUUUUUCUUUGCAAUCAAAGCUAUCUACACUAAUGAGUACCUUUGGCGAUCCACGACAAUGGACCUGCAAAGGCUUCUAAAAAACAGUGAGAUGCGAGGUUUCCUAACAUGACUGAAGCAUUGACUGUAUUUAAUGGCAGUGAAAAAACUACCCAAGUUCGUGGCAAGGAGAUUAUGGAAACAGAAAAUGAACCAAAAGAAUCAUUUUGGAGGUGGUUGCAUCAUUUGAUACAUGAAUUUGGCAUGCUUUUUUCAGUGUUCUAGGAGCUUAAAAUAACCUCAAUGUGCUUACCCAAUCCCUAGUAUUCAAUGUGCUACAAGGAAGAUCUCCUUCAGUCACAUAUGCAAUAAAUUGAACCAUGUACUCGGGAACGUACUACCUAAUAGACGACUUUUACCCAAUGUGGACAUCAUUUAUCAAAAUAAUGUCACGUUCACAAAGUGAAAGGACAAACAUUGCACAAGAUGUCAAGAUGGGUAUAAGAAGGAUGUGGAGCAUUGUUUUGGAUCCUCCAAGCUUGUUGGUGAAUUGUUAGGGGGGCUACACGAUUAAUUGAUAAAAAGACACUUCGAUCCAUCAUGAUGACGUGCAUCAAUCCACAAUAUGAUUGUGGAAGAUGAUAUGAUUAUAAUGUUGUUGAUGAAUUUGAACUAGACAUGAUGAACAAUUCCAUAAAAUGGGUUUGUUGGGCUCAUGACGCCACCGAAGACACCGUGCACCAUGAGCCAUUGGAACAAAAUGGACGUAACAAUGAAAGGAACACUCAAACCUAUACUUCAUUGAAAUCUUCAUACAUUCACAAAACGCGUCAAAGUGACUUAGUUGAGCACUUGUAUGGAAUGAAACAAGCUCAAGACACUUGAAAAAAGCUUGUGGUGGAAGGAAAUGACCUUACUUUAUUUGGUGUGUUGUUUUUAUGUUAUUUGGUGUGAUGAACAAUUUCAAUUUGAAUGAAGAUACUCUUAGUUUAUAUAACGAUUCUCUUAAUAUAAAUAAUGUUCCAUAUUGAACAAAUACAAAAUUACAACCCAAAGCGGAUGGGAUAUUUUUGGCCCAUUUGAUUUUACUAUAAAUUCCCUAUAAAUCACCUAACCAAUCUAUGGUGCUAGGGUCAUCUCCACUUGGUCCCUCUUCCCUUGCAUCCCUCAUUUGCAUAACUUCCACUCUUUUUGACCUCUAAAAUUUUUUGAAUGUAGAGACAUUCCUUCAAGAGACUUGGACAUAAUUUGACUAUGUUUCUUCGCCCUCAUUAAGUAUAUCCCUUUCUUACCUAAGUAUCCCUCUUUCUCUCUCAUGAGCCGCAACUUUAGUCGCAUAUCUAGCAUUUUUAGCCUCAAUUCUAGCCAUGUCUUUCUUCAAACUCAAUGCACAUUGGCGGCUAAUUUAUUCCAUAUAUUUUGUAGUCACUAUUGGAAGAACUGUCUUUUUUCUUUGCAACCUUAUGACCUUGAGGCUUAAGUUUGAUGGGUCAAUUCCGGCACUUCAAGUGGGUUGCCUUCUUUAACAAGCGAGACUUUUUAUGGUCUUAUGGUGUAGAAUGUAAAGUAGUUGUUCAUGACAGUGCACAAUUUUGUAUUUGGGGCAACCUUUGACAACAUUCCAACAUUCAAAGCGGUUAAAUGACUUGUUCUUGUUGGCCUCAUUGUACCAAGUUUGUACUUGAAGUGCCUACAAAAAAUAUGGGGACAAAAAAACACUACUAAAACUAAUUAAUGUCAAUUUAAGGGCAAACAAAUAAAUAAAGAAAAUAUUGUUGCCUCAUCCGAUAUUUAGCCGCUUCGAAGAUUAUCAUAAGCUUGUUUGUGAAGGAAAAACUUUGUCCAUGUAGAGAUUAUUUGAGCAACACAUGCAUAUAUUAACAAUUAAAGUAAAGCAUGAACUCAAAACAAAUCAAACACCCAUGAAAUUCAAGGCCUAGUGGAUGGUGAACCAAGACUACUUUCAUAAAAGAAAAAAGAAAUAUUGAGCUUUCAUACCCUUGAAGCUCACCCUUGUUUUCACAAUGUUAUCACCCAUGUGAGGCUCUUCAAUCCUCUUCACAUGCUCCAUGGAUUUAGCUUGAAUCCUUGGAUCUUUUCUUCUUCCUUGCUCAUUUGCUACUUGAGGAUUGGAUGAAAGGAUUCUUUGAUAACUCAUAUAUUUCAUAGAUUUAUACCAUCCAUUCCUAGCCCCUUUGUGAUAUUUUUGAGUUAAACUAGUUGCAAUUUACCCUCUUUUGUGUUAGUGUGCAGCUAAUCGUAUUUUGGAGCUCAAUUGAGGACAUAUAAGGCAAAAUGGUGCUAAAAGUGGAGAAUUGAAUAAGGAUGCUGAUAUAGACAAAGAAUUAAAAGUGGAAACUGAAUAUGGCUCUUUAUAAGACCAAUAACAACAAAAAACAUGGGAAUUAAAUGCCCAAUUACUGGGAUGUAUUGGCAAUCUGUAACAGCCUCAUUAACCUUAUAAAACUAAGAGUUUCAACCACUUUUACAUAAGUUUCCCCUUGGGGUCGCCUAGAGCUCUCUCUCCUCUCUUUCUUUGGCCUUUCUUCCAGAAACAAAAUCCUUUCUCCAUUCACCAUCUGCAGCCACCAAAGAAACCACGCAGCCGCGCUGUUCUUAGAGAAGUUCAACAUCAUAAUUAUUUCAAGGGGGUUUCUUCUAUGAACUUUAAUUUCACUCAUGUUGUUCUUGAUAUUUAUAUAUUCUGUAAUUAUGUUACGUAAUUAAGUUCAUAGCUGGGGAUUUCGAUGUAGCCUUGCAAAACUAUUCUAUGUUGUUAAGUUACAGUAUUCAAUUCAUCAAUCUGUUUUCUUGUUUCAUUCACUGAUUUCAUAGUUCAAUUUGUUUGUUUAUCUUAAUGUUUGAUCGCCAUUAGAGUUUCUUACAGAUUAUUUGAUCAAGGUUAUAGUACACGUCAUGCUUAAUCUUGGUAGACAUGUGAAUGAAUGAAGAAACUGCUUUGCAUACAUCCUGCCAUGUGAUUUCUUUGGUUCUUUGAAGUUUUCGUGUUCCUAAUGGAUUUUUAGUUGGCAAUCUAAGUUGAACAUCACAACUAGGUUGUAGACUAGGAGUACUUGAUCACACCCAUACAUCAAAUAGAUAAUCAUAAAUGAGUAAAACGAACCCUAGUUACAGAUUGGAGAGUUGAAUGCGUUUUGACUUAAUUUUCAUGGAAUUGGCUUGUAAUGGUGAAAUCGGUAUCCCUAGUUCCAUUCCCAUUAUUUCUGAUCAACCUAUCAUUUAUCUUUAUCUUUCUUGCUUUUUUAAGUUAUUUAAGUUUUCAGUUGAAAAAUCUAAAUCCAGUUUGCAUUUUCAUUAUUUAGUUAAUGUUCACAUAAAGCUAGUAGUAAUUUGUAGAGGUCUAAUCAAUCCCUGUGGUUUGACACCCUUACUUGUGCCAUUAUACUAACCAUAUAUUUUACUUGGAAGGAACACAACAUUCUCCAAGCACCAAAGGAAUGUUGCUUCUAAGUCUCCACACCAAGGUAGAGAUGUGAAGACAAGAUGGAAAGCCAAGAAGAAGUUUUGCUGCUAGUGAGACUUCUUCUAGGGGUUGGCUACUAUAGGGAGAGAGAGGAGAUUGCCUCUAAGUUUUCUUCUCAAACAACCUUAAUAAGGGUUCAGUUAUAACUCAAUCCUCUUAGAGCCCCUAAAAGUUCAGUGGCAUGAGUGUAAGUAAUCCAUUUUCUCUAACAAGGUCGGCUCCCUAUAAUAAUUGGGUUGUUUACCCCUUAUUGUUUAAGUUUUCAUACAACUUAGGCAAACCACAAGCCUGGCACAAAAAAAAAAAAGAAAAAAAAAAGGUUCACGUGGUUGAUGCAUGGUUGAUGUCAGAUCCACUCAGUCACAAACUUAGACUAUUCAUGCCCAAGUAAUGAGUCUUGCUACCGAAUAACCAACUGAUUGGGCAAGGGUGAAGUAUUUUUUGGAUUUUGAGGGCUUGGAUUGGCUAAUUGCCCAAACAAUUUGCAUGGAGUGGACUUGCUCUAUGAGUAUCUCCACCAAUUGGUGGAAGGCAAAGGCAAAGGCAAUAAUGUUGCCCUCAAGCCCAAAAAAAAAAAAAAAACACCUCCAGCAAUCCAAAUAAGCAAGGACAAGUGGUGGGUGUAACAAACUGUCCCAAAUUUUACGAUUUUUUUAAUCUUAAAUAUGUGAUUUUACCAUAAUGCCCCUUGGGGCAAAAAUGUUGACUUUCAUUGACCGUCAUUUCGUGACGUGUAUGAGCUAUUAUCGUAUUGUAUUCUUGUAGUACCCAUUGCUACAAAAGCGUGGGUGCAAGCGGAAUUGAAUUUGGAGCUAUGAUGAAGAUUUUACGAAACAACGAAACAGAAGGGCAUUUAGUAAAUUCACUAUUCUAGAAUUUGGAGCUAUGAUGAAGAUUUUACGAAACAACGAAGCAGAAGGGCAUUUUAGUAAAUUCACUAUUCUAGAUAUUCAUCCUUAUUAUUUUAUUAUUUUCUUAUAGGGUAUCUAUGUUCGUGGGACCAACCCAUAUGGGUCUUUUGUCCCAUUUGUCCCCGUGUCCUCUUAUUUCCUACUUUCCUGGAUUCCUUCUCAUCUUUGUUUUGAUCUCUCUCUUUAACUUUCUCUCUCAUCCUUCUCUAACUCUCCCUUCUCUCGUUGAAGCACCAAAAAGUUGUAGCGGCCAACACCAUCACUACCUUGACUCGCCACCUCAAAGAAGUUCAACAAUCUUUCAGUCAGAAAUAGGAUCUCGGUCUAUAAGCUCAAACCAUGAACUCGAAACCCUACAUUGCAUAGUGACUUCUAUCACUGAUCAUUCCCUUCCCCAACCAUGGUGAGCCUUGAGACCCUCACAUCCUUCUUAUUUCGAAGCCUUUAUAUUGUUUUUCAACCUUAAAACGAGAUUUGAGGGUGAUCUAAUAUAGAAAGCAUCUCGAGGAGUUUUCCCCAGAUUUUUUGGCGAAUGAUGCAACCACUUUUAGGCCAUUCUUUCAACCAGCACCGACUAUGACUCAGCCUCGAAUUUGUAUAUAUAUAUAUAUAUAUAUAUAUAGGUUUCUUGACGUGCUAAAUCUGAAUCAGCCCUCCGUUUUUCGAAAUUUGAUCAUUUUAAAAUAGUUUCUUUAUGAGCCGUACUUUGUACGAAAAUGCUUAGUUACAAUAUUACGUAAUAUAUCUAUGUAAAUGGUUUCAUUUCUAGGUGAAACGCAUCGUGAGGAUUUUCGAUGCCCGCAAAGUGGGUUUGACCUAACGACAUAAUUUGUGAGUGGGUCUUUGCUUUUAAAUACUAUAUAUUUAUUUAGUUUUCAUUUAUAUUUUUGAUAAAGAAUUUUCUACAUUAUGUCAAGAUUAGAUUAAUGUUUAUAAGAAUUAGCGCAUUGACAGAAAUUAGGAAAUUAUGCUACGUCCUAAAGGAUGCAUAAAUAUGCAUGUUAUUAUAGGAUGCCUUAAUCAUAUUUACGGCCAUGAAUAACAUUAUGUCGACUAGAAUUAUCGGUUUACUAUUGCAUGAUCAUAUUUACGUUAUUUGCUCAUUUGUGUACUACACUAGUGUUAGUACUUGCCCAAGCCAGGGCCAGUCUUCACAUGUAUGUUCACAUCGCACCGUAGACUAACUUUGGAUCCAUUGUAGGUGCCAGUCCAGUCCUAGAUUGCUCUAGGCAAUUAUGACUCGUAUGUGAUGCGCAUAGCGCCAGUCUUCACGUGAUUGUUGUCCUAGAGCAUAAAUCAUGAUUGUGGAUGCAAAUUUUCGCCUUCUUCUUCUUUUUGGACGAAAAUGCACAUGCGAAACAAUUACACCUAUGAUCAAGACCAAGAGCCUCACAUGCCCACGAUGAUUUGGGGGGGGGGGGCUUUGGCCGAAGAUUCUCUGAUGCCAAAGUUAAAAUUUGAGGGAAAAGUGUUUAAAGAAAUUUAGAGAAUUUUAGAAGAGAAAUAGACUUAGGUUUUGUAGAAAAUGAGGGGCUAUAUAUAGGGGUGUGGCUAACCCUCUUAGGAGAAUUGGGACCGGCCACAUUUGGUUGUUUUGUGAGAUUGAUUGCAAGAUAUUAUGGAAAUAAUAUAUUGCAAUUGCUUUAGGCAAUUAAUCAAUUAAUUAAUUAAUUAAAGUAAUUAAUCCCAAUUUGAAAGGAUAAUUGGGAGUUACCUUGUGGGUUUGUUGAGGAAUGAUGAGAAGGUUUUAAAGAAUACCAUUUUGAUCACCUUUGACCUCAAUUGGGCUAUUAUUGUCCGUUGCAUAUGUGUGGGAGUCCCGGUGUGCCUUGAUAAGAGCAUAUUUAAGUGACUUUGUUAUCUUAUUUCUUUGCAUUUACUUCGUUAAUUUCCAUUUAUUUUGGUAAUUUAUUAUUUUCGUAUUAUUGUAGGUCCAGUUGGUAAAGAUAACAAUAAAUAACUAAAUGGAGCAAUUUGGAGCAGUUUUGGACUUGGAUUGGAUAGCAUGCGUGGAUAGCUUAUGGGCUAAACGUUUUUGGUGUUUAAAUGGUGCUAGACAUGCGCUAACAUCUGGAGAAAUUAAAGUUGACGCUUGGAAGGCAAGGAAUUACACAAGAAAGAGAAAUCCUAAUUGAAGAGGAACAUUAUCUUAUCCUAUCCUAUCUUAUCUUAUCCUAUCUUAUCCAACAUUAUCUUAUCUUAUCUCCAACUGCAAGGAGGAAUUCUAAUCACAUUCCAACACUUUCUACCUGAUUUUUAGAGUCCUAAAAUAACUCAAAAAUGCCAAAACCCUUUCCUCCUUGGAUUAAGCCAUUUCCCCAUAUAUAUAUGAAAUUCCUGCAGAGAUUUAGGGUGUGCCGCGCCUACCAUUCAUCCAUUGAAGUUGCUGGAAUUUCAAAGUUCUUUCUAUCUUUGUUUUAAGUUUCAAUGUUUAUUUUAGAUUGCUUUUCAAUUAUGAUAAACAUGUGUAACUAAGUUUCUUUUUAGUUAGAGGUGGAUUCGAAGCCAUGUUCAUAUGUUUUAUAUAAAUUGAUUACAUCCAGUUAUUGUUUCAUAAAACAUGACUGCGAUUUACUUAUCUGCUUUAUAGAAAACUUAUUGUUGUAUGUUUAUUAAGGGUGAAUACUUAGUUUGCUUGCAGGGAUUUGAUGCUAGAAUACAAGGGAAUUUCACCCAAUUGUUAUGAACUUAUAUUUUUAAGUAGUAAAAGUCACUAGUCAUGAUUGAGUUAAGUAAAUUCUUGGCAGGAGUAUCAUGCUUUCCAUAGUUACGAAUGCUUUGUCAAUGCUUAUGAUUUUCACAGUUAAUGAUCUUUGAGAUGUAUCUCUAUCAUGCUUUUCAUAGUUAGGGAACUUGAGAAAAAUAAUUUGGUUGCGUCGCUGAGUCCAAUUCAACGAACUUAGGAAACUCUGAGAGUUAAUAAGUGCUAUUCACAAUUAAUUUGGGGCAUAGUCAUUUAUGGUUUAUAGGAAGAAUAACUAGAAAUUGAUUUGUAUGCAUAUGUUUCAUGUGUGGAGAAGAAUCAUUUAGCUAUCCUUUCAUCCAUAGUUCAUUCACAACUUAAUUUACUUGCUGCAAUUUACUUUUGUUUUAAUCAAAUUCGUCUGAAAUCUCCCCAGUCAUUGUUUUAAUGUUAGUUCAAUUUAGUUUUCAGUUUUAUAAGUUUAGUUUGUGUUGAUUAGCAUCCCUUAUAAUCCUCGGAGUAGAACGAUCCCUACUUACUCGUAUUACGAUUGCAUAAUUUAUGGGGUUUAAUUAGUGUGUUAGUUUCUACCACAACAUGCCUCAAGGGUAAUUUUUUCUUUCUCAUCUAAAGGUCCACAUGUCGUCUUUAUAUUUUUCUUGAUUAUUUUUGGCUCCACAAAUGCCCCUACACCUGUUGGGCUGCUUGCAUGAAAUAGCAGGUGUAUAGAUCUUUUCUGUUAGGAAACAUAGGAUUGUUUCCUUUCUUGAUGUAGAUUCAUUCUUUAAUUGGAAAUUAGAUCCUUCUAGGAAAGGGAAAUAAAUUACUUCUAAAGUCUGUUUAAGUCUACCUUAAGUAGAUUAUUAAAUCAACUUCAGAGAACAAUUUAUUCUACCCUACAAGAAAGAGAAAGCUAGAGCAUAUUUUUUCCACCUCCCCUAGCAAUCUUCUACACUUGUCUGUGCAAAUGAUCGUCUUUCGUUACUUUCUUUAUCUUCUCCAUGCUGUAUUAAGGUAAGAAAAAUUUAAUUUUCCUUGUCUUCUUCUUGGAUAGUGCUGUCGCAGGGCAGCCGUUGGGGUGGUGCAACACAUCUGCUGAGAGGGGCCAGGAGUCAGCUCGACAUGGGUCGAUGAGUGUUGUGGCAGGGAUCACAACUUAGGUUGUUUAGCUUGGCUAGAGCCAAGGGUAGCUGUGCGGUUGGGGUCGCAGAUGGAGAUGCUGGGGCGAAGUGCUAGGAGAGCCGCAUAUCUCAUGUCCUUUGGGCUCUUGGACCUAAAGCGGGCCAGGUUGGUGAUUAAGAGAAAUGAGGAGGUCGCGGGCCUCAUGGGCUACUAGAACGUUGGGCAUGCUAGCCUCCUGCCUGCUGGCCUGAGAGAAAAAAAUGAGGGAAAAGCCAAAAUAGGUUAAGCUCUCCCGCUGAGUACCGUGAAUGGCGUUGGCUACUUAAUCCAAUUAGCUUGGAGAAAGAUAGGCUGCUCCCGGUAGAGGAGAUAAAAAGGAUAAAGGCAAAUGCAUUAGCUCGUCCGAUCGCUGUUGUGGAGCCUACUAUGAAUGAAGGUGGAAAGAAGAAAUCUUCCCAGCCUGCUCAAGAGAUGCUGGUUAAGAAAAACCCAAAGAUUUCCUCCGUUACUCGUGAGGGUCCGUCUGCUGCCGAUAGGCUAUUCAUUGACUUGACUUCUUCCAAUGGGAAGAAAAAUGAGGCUGUUAGAUUUGAGCAUUUGCCAUCUACCCUACUGAUUUUGUAUAGACCUUCCCAUAUGGGAUCUAUCUUUUUAGAGCCUUUUUUACGGGCAGUGAUGAAGGCUUUUCUUAGGACUAGAUCUCCAGGCUAGAACUACCGGAUCUUGGCCAUUUUGUUAUAGGUGGAAAAAAGCUACUGCUAGUAGGUUACGAUGAUGGUGGUGACCUUCUCGCGUUUCUCCAUUGCCAGAUCUAAGUUUGUUGCCAUCUCCUUUCUAUUAUGCUCAAUGCUUGGUAGUAGAAUGUUGAUACUUGGCAUGAUGACAUUGAAAGGAAUGAUUGCUUCUGAACCAAAUGCCAAAGAGAAAUGCGUCUCACUGGUUGCUCGUCGUAUGGUUAUGCAAUACGCCCAUAGAUAUCAAAGAAAUUUGUUUGGGCAUUUUCCCGUUUUGUCGGAGAGGAAUUUCUUAAAAUAGUUUAGAAUCAUCUUAUUGGAUGCUUCGGCCUGCCCAUUGCCUUAGGAAUACCUCGACAUGGACAUGUGCUGCUUGAUGCCAUAUUUCUAGAAGAACUUCGUCAUCUUUGCCUAUGAAUUGCGGGCCGUUGUCUGUGAUGAUGGAUUGAAGGAUGCUAAAUUAGUAAAUGAUGUUCCUCCAUAUGAAACACUUUAUGUUCGUCUGAGUUGUGGUUUUCAUGGGCUCUACUUCCACCUAUUUAGUGAAGUAGUCAGUUGCCCCAAUCAUCAUGCCUCUACCUCUAGUAACUGGUGGCAUUGGCCUUACCAAGUUGAUUGCCCAUUGCAUAAAUGACUAAUGACUCAUUUGCAAGUGUAAUUCGCUGACCGGCAGUGCUGGUACCAGCUUGUAGUGUUGGUAAUGGUCGUACUUUUGUACUAACUCAUUUGCAUCUUAAUGCAUAGUAGGCCAGUAAUAGCCUAUGUUUAGAGCCUUCUGUGCUAAAGAUCGGCCUUUGGAGUGAUUUCCACAAAUGCCUUCGUGGAUUGAGCUUAAAACCUUUAGGUUGUAGGGAGGUGCUAGGCAGUGGAUAUGUGGUCCAGUAUAGGAUAUUCGAACAAGAAUGUCAUUCCACAUGUAGUAACGUGCUGCCUUUGUUUAGAGCUUUCUAGACUCCAAUCUUUCCAUGAAGAGUGUGCCAUUGACCAAGUAGUCUAUAAUGGAAUCUUGCUAAUUUAAAGUUGUACUAACCUAUGACACCUCGACUGCUGGCUCUGCCUCUAUGCUUGGCUCAUCUAGAUACUCCACCGAAAUAAAGCGUUUGAGUUGGUGGUCAAAGGCUAGCGUGUCCACGUGAGCGUUGUUUUUCCGCGGAACUUGAGUGAAGAUGUAAGUCUAAAAUGCCUCAAGUUGCUUUCGUACCUUCUCUAAGUAUUGUACCAUCUUCAUAUGUUUUGUCGUGUACUUUUCAGUAGUCUGGCUAGUGAUUAGCUGGGAAACAUAAUGAAUUGCAAGCUUAUCACCACCAAGUCUUUUACCAUUUGGAGGCAUGCUAGUAGGGCUUUGUAGUCUGCUUCAUUGAUGGAUUUAAAGUGUAAAGUGAUUGCCUGCUUGAGCGUCAAACCAUCUAGGUGACAAGGACCACGCUUGCUCUCGAGCUUUUGUAGUUGGAAGCACCGUUGAUGUGCAAAAGCCAAAAGUAUCCAUCGGGUAAAGCAGGCAUGGCUUGGGCGUGCUCGGUUUCCUCUGAGGCAUUGUUGGGUCGCUCUACUGCUUCCUUAGGCUAGGAGUGAAUUCGCGGUAGGGAGCCGUAGGGCUGGGGCCAUGUUACACACAGGAGAAGAUGCUCAACUGCUGGUAUUGGGCCACUCUAAAGCUGAAUUAUUGAGCAAGGGUCGGCUGAGGCCGCGUGACACGCAUGUUACUCCUAUGUAGAAUCUUUUGGGGAGAUGAGAAAAAACUUGCUUCCGAGUGUGUCAUUCUAGUGUUCGUCUGCCCUUGGCUCGCCUUUUGGGCUGAGUUGUUACGUUCGCUAGAAAACUUUGCAUUCGCUAGUGUUUGUACCUUUAUCGCCGCACGUUUGGAUUGGGCUGAAUAGUGCGUGAUGAGGAUGACUGCUUGAGCUUCCCAAUUGCAACAACUGUCGCUAAAGUUAGUUUUUGAAUUUCUGGUAGCUGGUUUUCGCAUCGAGAAAAGCUUUUGAACUGUAGAAUAUAGGUAGUCGGGCCCCCAACUCUUCUCGUAUGAGGGUAAAGCUUAUUGCUGCUUCAACUACCAUAAAGCAUGUAAAUAAGUCAUGUAUUGCUUUUGAUUUAGAUAGUAGAGAUGUGAUGUUGGGUACUUCUUCAAGUCCUUGAAUGUGCAUCGGCGAGCCUUGUCCCAAAGUGCAUGCUUCUCUGCCAGAACAAAAGAGUCUGCCAUAGUUAGAUCUUCUUUCAUGAUCAAUUUUUUGAAUAGUGAGUGGCAUGCUGGAAGUCAUUUUUAGAAGGCUGAUCUAGCUAUCGAGUCGUUGCAUUUGACUAUCUUUGCCUUCUCUACUUUGAACCUCUUAACGUUGAACAAGUGGUCAGACUUUUUCUUGAUCGAGCGAUAGGAUGAAUAUUCUUUAGUGAAAACCAAAGAAAAUUCGUCAAAACUCCAGAUGGAUUGUGGUGGCAGGGUGUAGAACCAAUUUUGCACCUCGCCUUGUAGAGUGGAGGUGAAUAUCUGGCAUAUGAGAUAAUCGUUGUUUCGAUAAAGGAUCAUUGUGCUUUAAUAGUGCUUUAGGUGUCUUUCUAGGUCUCCAUCUCCUUUGAAUAAUGUGAAAUGUGGCUGAUGCGAAAAUUAACUUAACACACAAAUUUAACCCUCUUUUGACAAUUGUAGUAUAAGUAUAAGUAGGGAUCGUUCUGGACCGGGGAUUAGGAGGGCUUGCUAAUAACCUCUAAACUGACUCAAAAACAUAAAACUAAGCUUAAAAAUACUUAACAAGAUUCACAAGACUCAAAGCAAACUUAAAAUACUCAAAACAGCUUAAAACAACCAAAUAAACUUAAACUAGACACUAGGAAUGACUUUGGAUGAAAAUUGACUUUUACUUGAAUCAAAACACUUAAAAACACAAACUAAAACAGAUUUGAAACACUUUGAAACAAGAAACUAAAAGGGGGGUUUUGAUUUGGAUGAAGUUGUAACAAAUAAACAAGUAUGAAAAACUAGACAGAUUGUAAAAUAAAUGUGAGAAAAAAGAUGAUGGAUGAGAUAGCUAGAGGUUUUUUCUCCACACAUGACAUGUAUGCAAAUAACUCGAUUUCCAGUUACUACUUCAUUGAAUAUGAAUAACAAUGCUCCAAAUUAACCGUGACAUCACUAGUUAACUCUCAGAUUUUCCUUGUUUUAUUGGAUUGGAUGACAUCAUUCGACAACCCAAAACAUUCUUCAAAAGUUCCCUACAUGACAUCAUAAUAGAGAUACAAUCAAAGAUCAUUACGUUUAAUGAAAAUCAUAAGCAUUGACAAAGCACUUGCAACUAUGACAUCAUGUCACUCAUGCUAGGAAUUGAACUUAACGCCAUCGUUUAUAAGCAACCUCCACUACUUAUGAAUAUAAGUUUGUAACAAUUAUGUGAAACUUUCUUAUAUUCUAGCAUCGGAUUUAUGCAUGCCAAUUAAGUGUCGACCCUUAAUCAACAAAUACAAAUAAGUUAUCAAUCAAAUAGUUAAGCCAAUUGCAUUCACGAUUCAAGAGUUCAUAACUGGAAUUUAUCAAAUUUUAUUGCAUACAUAGUCAUGGCUUUGAAAUCACCCCUAGCCAAUAGGGGUUUAGCCACCCAUAUUUACAACAAAACGAAAUGAAAUAAAUUUAAACAUUAGAAACAAAAGAAAGAAAACAUAUAAACGCUCCAACGAUCCAAGUUGGAUAGCAAGCACGUCUAAGCACUUUCCUUCCCUUCCUUUGCUACGGCAUAAGGUGUUGGUGAGUGUUUGAAGGUUUGUUUGUAUGGAGGAAUGGAUGUGUUUGGAUGAAGGUUGUCUUGAAAUGGAGAUGAAUGAUCAAGCAAAAACUAAACUCUAUGGCUACCACACACACUUCCUUUUAUAGAGGAAGUGCACGGCAAUGGAGGGAAAUUGGUGGUGUGUGCAAUGAUUCAAGGGUGAAAAUGAAGUAAUGAUGCAAAGUAUGGGGGGUAAAAUGGAGUGGUGUUGCAGCAAUGAGUGCAUUGAGUGGUGUUUGAAAUGAUUCAAAGGUGAAAGUGAAGUGAUGAUGCAAAGCAUGAGGGGUAAAAUGGAGUGGUGUUGCAGCUAUGAAUGCAAGUAGGGAACAUGAAUGAUUGUGCACAUGGUAAAGAAAGGAAAUAGAGGUGGAAUGGUGCAGAAAUGAGUCAAAGGUGCAUCAAGACUCAUGAUGCAUGGCAUGGGAUUCCAAAUGUGGUGGAUGGUGCAUCAAUAAGUGCAUGUAGUGGAGGUAAAAGUUGUAUGAUAUCUGAUGGGUGAAGGGGACAAGAAAUGUGCAGCAAUUGAGUGCAAUGAUUCAAUGUUUUGAUGCAUGAAAUCAGAAAUAAUGAAGGAGACAAGGGUGGUGCAUGACAUGGGUGGAUAAUGAGUGUAGUGGUAUAUGAAAUGAGUGCAAGAAAUCUGGUGUGCAUGAAGGAGACAAGGGUGAUUAUGCAUGGCAUGGGUGGAAAGGUGAGUAAGUGGUUAAUCAAUGAGUGCAAUGAGGUGAAAGGAUAUUGUGCACAUGGUAGACAAAAGAAAGGAAGUGGAAUGGUGCAACAAAUGAGUGCAAGGAGGGAACAUGGAUGAAUGUGCACGACAUGGAGUGAUUUAUGGCAGAAAAUUGGAAAGGAAUGGCUCCCUUGCAUGGCAAGGAAGAGAAAUGGUGAAUGAUGGUAUGGCUUGGACUUUUAGGGCAGGUUUAGGACUUGUAGAAUAUGUAAUGAAAUGUCCCAAAGUAUUUAGGAACCCUUCGUGUGACUAAAUCUUUGGUAAUUUAGGAUUAGGAAAGGUAAUGACAAGAUAACGCAAGUUUGACUAGUCUUUCCUCAUUCUUAAUGGUUUCCUUGUCUUCCUUGGUCCUCAAUUUAUUUUCUUCCUUUCCUUGGCACAUUCCUAGCUUCUUUGGAUCUUUAAUUUUGUCCAACCACUUUGCUCCAUAUGCAUGCAAUCCAUUUCAACCCAAAAUUGCUCCAAAAUGCACCAAAAUGCAUUUUCUUGCCAACUUUGUUAUUAGGAUCUACAAACACACGAAAAUAGCUUAAAAUACAUAAUUGACUAAGAAAUAACAACAUAAAUGCACAAGAACAAGCUAACUAAGUCGCAUAAAUAUGCUCCUAUCAGUGGCAUGCUUGAUAAGCUCAUAUUUAUAUUUAUUUUACAUCAAAUUCACUUCUCUUUUCUUAGUUAGUUCCUUAUAUUUUUGAGCUAUUUACUUUGUUUUUUUGUUUUGUGGGAUUUGUCAAGCAAAUAAAAGAAAAAUAGCACAAGUGGGAUAUUAAGUAACAAAUUCGUCAAAACUGCCUGUGCAGGUCAGCUGACUUUGGAAGCAAGUUAAGAACAGCUCAGAAUGAAUUAGAGAAUGAGCCUUAUAUGCUUGGAAAGCUACGGAUGUCUAUUUUCUAGAGCAUUUCGCGGAUUGUUAAUAUCAUUUUUCUAGAAGAAGUUAUGGCCAUUUUAACACUGAAAGGUUUCCAAGACGCUGAGCAGUUUGUAACUGCAUUGAAGGCAAUAAAUCCAAUAAAACUAGCAGCCAAAACUGAUGCAGCCAAGAACAAGCCAGCUGACACCUCUUCAAAUAUCAGAUGAAAUGGAAUUAAAGAUGAGGAUUAAGUGGGAGUAAUUGGCAUAAAGGUUGCCCAAAAAGUUACAAUUGUUUUACCAUUUCCUCUCACUUAUUGUCAUCACUAAAUGGCUGUUAGUGGGGUGAGUUAUGGAGCAGAAAUGGGGCAGCAAGCAUGGGCAUAAAGGCUGCAGGUUGCAGCAGCAAAAGAGAGUUCUUUAGAGGAAAAAAAAGAUAGAAAAAAAAAAGGAAAGGAAGGAAAGAGGACAAGGCAGCUGCGUUGAGAAAGGAAGGAAAGGAAGGAGGAAAUCUUGGCAUUCUCUUCUCUCGGUUUUAUCUUCUCAAACUCAUGUCUUUCUUUUGGUUUAUUUUGAGAACUAUGUGUAACUAAUUUUUUAGAAGUUAGGGGCUGUUUUGAAGCCCCGAAUAUGAUUGCAAUUUUUUUAUGACAUUUUGUUGAAUUACUUUUAUGAAUGGAUGAAACUUGGUUCACUACUUGUCUCAUUGAUGAAUUCUUUAUUUGUUUUCUAUGGAUGCAUACGUAGUAAGCAUAUCUAGGAUUCUAAUGCUAUGAAUAUGUGUGUGCCUGCCCUUGUCGAAUGAGGACCUACAUAUGUUCUAAAGUAGUACUUGUUAAUUGCGAUUAACAUGUGAACCAAUUUCUAGGAUGAGUAAGACAACGCCAAUACUUACGAUGCCUUGUGAUGACUCAAACUCUUUUCGUUCUUAAUGAUUUCUACUUGUUAAAUCUAUGAACACGCCAUUCUAGAUUGCAUGCUAGGGACUAAGUUAAGUUGAAAACGUCAUUCUCUUAACAAACUACGUAAGAAAGAGUAAUAGGUUGAGUUCUAACAUUGAGCCAACUUGAGCAUCUUUAUCCGGAAAUAAAAGAAAUUUGAAUGAAACAUAACAUGUUUGCAUGAUUAUUUGGUGGUGGAUAGCAAUACCCCUAAUUCGUUUUUCUUAAUUUGUGAACUACUUAAAUUUGUGUUUCUAUCCUGUUUUUUGUUCGAUUUAAUUUAAAUAGCAAAUCAACUCCAAAAAUUAAAAAAAAUGUUUGAGUGUGUUUGGUAUGUGUCUAGUACUUUUCUGCAUAUAAAAUUUUCCUUUCAAUAAGUGUUAUGUUUUUUUGUGUAAUCAUAAUUACCAACAUAUGUUCUUGAGUGGUACUUUUGUUAGUUAAUGUGGAUAAAAUUUCUAGAGACUUUCUAAAUCUUAUAAGUGCGGUCUAAUAAAUUUUUGUGUGGUAAAUGGUUCAGUUAAAAGCCCCAUUUUUGUGACUUUGUUAGGGUUAAUAGUUAAAACAAUCUUCUUACGUGGAGAAAGACUUAUGUUUCAUAUGCUACAACUUGACAAAUUUAGUGUUAAAAGGGAAAACUAACAAUGCUGACUUUGUGUGUGCUUUUAUAUCCUCAUCAAUUGAUUGGUAUUCUUUUAACCUUUUUUUCAUUCUAAAAACCACAAUACUCUCAAGAACUCUGCUUGUUGAGAGCUUUGCCUGUUCAAUUCGUCCAUUGAAAAUUGUGACCUGCUUUAAUUCAAGUCAGUCUCUCUUUUUUAUUUUGUGCCUUCAUCAGAAUGACCUUAGUUGCAUUGGAAGAUCAACAACUUCUAGUCAAGAGCCUUUUCUCACUUUUCCUGAACUCUUUUGCCAGUUGUCAAUGAUGUGCUUAAUUUCUAAGGGCCUUAGUUGCCCCUCUUGUCCUCAUGGUUGAACUCUUAUGGGACUCUCAAUGUGUUGACCUUGCUCUUGAUUCAGUGCCUCAUAAUCUCUUCUAAAGCUUUGUUGAAUGCUCGAGUUCUUCGUCAGUAAGUUCUUCGCAAGCUGCCGAUUGAACUUGAGCCACAUUAAGUGACUACUUCUCUCUGUCCAUUGUGCUACUUACUCCGAUGUGAGGUGGAAUAUGUUCCUUGCGGGCCUAGCCUCGAAUGAACACUUCGCCUAGAAAGUUUCUCAUGUUGAUUAACGGAAUGUAACCCUAACCAAGAGUGCACGCUCCUCUUUGCGCUAAGAUGAUAGUAUAUGCUAUCUUGGGGGCUCAGUAGGAAUGUACACAGCCAUAACGCUUAGUUUGUGUCUGGUCAAGUCGCUGCUUGCCGGGACGCUGCUGGAAAGGUUCAUCGUUUGCCUUUGUCUUACUUCGAGACACCUCGUUUGGGGCAUGUUGCAUCUCGGUGCGCUGUAAGAGAUGACUCACCAAGGUCGUCUGCUAUACAAAGACGUUUGUCAACUCUAUGACUUGUCGGGACACGUGUUGUUUGCCAUUUGGGUUGGAAAAGCUUAGACGGUAUGUGUCUCGUUAAGUAGCAAAAAUGUAAUAAACUUCAGGCGUAAGAUUUGAGUUGGGAAAUGUCAAAUCUGCCGAGAAAUUAGGUGAAAAUGCCCUCAGUUCAAUCGUCAGUCCAAAAAUCUGAAGCUGAGAUGCCUGAAUCGUUCUUGGGCCGAUUUAGGUUGCUUGGGAAGCCACAAGAGUUGGCUGCUCCACAUGCCGCAAGCAUAGGAGUUAGGCCAGGGCUUGGAUCGGGUGUCUGUUGGGCUUGGGGCAGGUCGUGGCUCGUGUCAGCUCAUCUUGGGCUUAGGCCCUUGAAGCUUGAUGUGGCACGGCUUAUGCCCCAUGGUCUUGGGCUCAACCUUGGAGUGAACUGGGCUCGUGAUAGCCUUAGGCCCUCGAGGUCUGGGCCGGUGCUCCUAUCGUGGCUGCUUGAUUCUGGGCUUGCUCACCUUGGGCCUUCUUACGUUUGGCCGAGCUGGGUUCCUUUGUGGCGCUAGCCUGAGCUCGAUGUUGCAAGGUGGCAUGGGCUUGAGCUUGCGGCUACAAGGUGAGGCCUGCUCAUUGGGCUCGGAUCUCGCUGUGAGUUACCACGGUGGCUGCCAUGGUGGUGCCCCAUAGGGGUAGUGCCGUUCCACUCGCCGUUGCGUUGAGCCUUGUGGAUUGUUGUGGUCCAAAUCCUUGAACAUAGGAAGUUUCUUUUGUCAUGAUUUCCGAAUUUCUUGUCAUUGUACUUUUCUUUGACAUUUAUUCAAAGAAUUUUUGCAUAAAAAAUUCUAGGAAUGAGAACGCAUGAAAAAUCUACGAAUGAACAAAAAAUUAGAAACCUUGAAUACAAGAGUCUUUUUCGAGCGUGUGAAUCAAGACUCUCAAUGAAAGCACCAAUUUAUGGAUGCAAAUUUCCGCUUUCUUCUUCUUGGACGAAAAUGCACCUGCAAAACAAUAAACACCUAAGAUCAAUGCCAAUAGCGUCACGCGCCCAUGAUGAAUUGGGGGGGGGGGCGCUUUGGCCAAAGAUUCUCUAAUGCCAAAGUUAGAAUUUGAGGGGAAAGUGUUUAGAGAAAUUUAGAGAAUUUUAGAAGAGAAUUAGACUUAUGUUUUGGAGAAAAUGAGGGGCUAUAUAUAAGUGUGUGGUGGGCCCUAUUAGGAGAAUUAGGACCGGCCACAUUUGGUUGUUUUGUGGGAUUGAUUGCAAGAUAUUAUGGAAAUAAUAUCUUGCAAUUACUUUAAGCAGUUAAUCAAUUAAUUAGAUAAUUAAUUAAUUUAGGUAAUUAAUCCCAAUUUGAAAAGAUAAUUGGGAGUUACCUUGUGGGUUUGUUGAGGAAUGAUAAAAAGGUUUAAAAGAAUACCAUUUUGAUCACCUUUGACCUCGAUUGAGUCGUUAUUGUUCGUUGCAUGCGCAUGGGAGUCCCGGUGUUCUUCAAGGCUAAUUUUGUCUUUCUCACCCAAAAGUCCACAUGUCGUCUCCAUAUUUUUCUUGAUUAUUUUUUGCUCCACAAUUAUUACACCCCGUCUUGUUCAUGUCAAAAUAUCUCUACAUGAACUCGUGUGUAAGCAUAUGUCGAUGAGCACUCAUUAUGAUAUGUUUGUUUAUGCGAGAUUAUGUGAUUACCAGACGUUAUGUGUUUAUUUACAAAAUAUUGUGACGUAUUGCAUUGUAGGAAGAAGAGGUAUCUCCUUAGGUUUCUCAACGUGUCAAAUUCGAAUCCACUCUCUGUUUUUCGAAAUUCGAUCAUUUUAAAAUAGUUCAUUGAUGUGAAAAUUACUUGACACACAAAUUAAACCCUAUUGAUGACAAUUGUAGUAAUGAUGUAAGUAGGGAUCGUUCUAGACCGGGGAUUAACUAGGGAUGCUAAUCAACAAAUAUAAGACUCAAAAACACUAAACUAGACUCUAUAAACUCAAAACUAACUUAAAAUACUCAAAACAGCAAAUAACAAUAAAAAAGAUUCAAUUCUAGACCUAACAAGUGAUUUGGACGAAAAUAUAACUUUAAAAGACUUAAAAGAUUUAAAGGAAACAAGUUUUGACUCUAAAAGCAAGACUUAAAAGCAAGGGGUUUUGUUUUGACGAAAAUUGAACUUUAAAACUUUAAACUUUGAAAAUAAACUUAAAACAAAACAGAUUGUGAUGAAAUAGAAUGAUGAGAAACUAGUUAGAGGGUUCCUUAUCCACAUAUGAACAUAUGCAUAUAAUUUGAUUCCCAGUUAUGACUUCAACAAACGAUGA
rnacentral:lncRNA from 1 species